rnacentral:sRNA from 1 species
AUAUCUCUCUGUACGGGAAGGAUGAGAAGCUUCGACCAAGGUUCGAUUCGAGCGCAGCGAGAAAGCGUUGCCGCAGGCAACGACCCG